GGCUCAGGAUGAACGCUAGCGGCAGGCUUAACACAUGCAAGUCGAGGGGCAGCAUGACGGAACCUUCGGGUUUUGUUGAUGGCGACCGGCGCAAGGGUGCGUAACGCGUGAGCAACUUGCCCGUUUCAGGGGGAUAACCGGUGGAAACGCCGACUAAUACCCCAUAGCAUCACAUUGAGGCAUCUUUAUGUGAUUAAAGAAUUUCGGAAACGGAUAGGCUCGCGUGACAUUAGCUAGAUGGCGGGGUAACGGCCCACCAUGGCGACGAUGUCUAGGGGUUCUGAGAGGAAGGUCCCCCACACUGGAACUGAGACACGGUCCAGACUCCUACGGGAGGCAGCAGUGAGGAAUAUUGGUCAAUGGCCGAGAGGCUGAACCAGCCAUGCCGCGUGAAGGUCACGGCCCUAUGGGUCUUAAACUUCUUUUGUAAGGGAGCAAUAAGGGUCACGUGUGGUCCGAUGAGAGUACCUUACGAAUAAGCAUCGGCUAACUCCGUG
rnacentral:rRNA from 1 species